rnacentral:pre_miRNA from 1 species
CUUGUACUCCCUCAGUCCGAAAAUACUUGUCAUUGAAAUGGAUGUAUCUAGAUGUAUUUUAGUUCUAGACACAUCCAUUUUGAUGACAAGUAAUUCCGGACGGAGGGAGUACUUG